AUGGGCGGGAUGGGGUAUACUUGUGACCUUUGCACACCCGCAAGGAAAUCCUCCAAAACUCAUGAUGUUGGUCAACUGAGUUUAUCAAUGUCUUUGAGACAGGAUGUCACAUGAUCGACAUCACUAUAAAUGAAUCACAGAAGGUCCUCAACUUCUUUAUGGAAAAUGAAUUCCAGGCUGGAUUCUAAAAGUGACACGAAUGCUGGGACCGGGGUAUUGCUGUGUAAGGUGACUAUUUCAAAGGAGAUGAUGUUAAAACUUAGGAUGGAGAUGAGAAGCAAUGUUUCCAUGUGGCAGGGCUGAUAUUGUUGAGAGACUACUCUCUACCAUUAUUGGUAGCUUUGUUAACAACGAAGAAUAUUUAUCCACCAACGCGGUAUUGAGCCUUCAUUCACACUGUUCGAUAUUAGCGUGUGUGUUGAGGAAUGACAUCAGAAGAGACGCUAGGUAUUAUUAAAUUAAAAUCUUUAAACAAAAAUAUGAAACUUUCAAUGGUUAUACUUCAUGACUUGAAGUUUGAAGCUCAAACUUAUUUGAAUAUCGGACGGGAAAUCACAAUGAAAAUCUUAGCAACUUUUUUGUAAAUGGUUUGUUUUAUUAAUCUUGCUUUUUGGUAGGAAUAAAGCCAGAGCAAGGGGCAUAACUCGUUACAUAUUAAUGUUGGUUGUCAGGAAUAAGUUCCCUUGGGACUUUUGUUAAAGAAUUUCUGUAACGUGACCUCUGUGACUAUAUUUUAUGCUUUAAGGGUUCCAGUUCCCCAUUCGGGGCUUUAAUUAUGGCUGUGUGUGCUGUAUUCAUCGUAGAUGAAAAGUGACGGAGAUUGUUGUAGUGCACCUGAGCACUGUUUACAAUAAUUUCAUUAUUAUUAUAUCUAACAUAAAAAUUUUAGUCAUUCAUUAAAUUAUACUGUAAAUCCCAUUUAUUCAUUAGCAAAAAUGUUAAUGAAUUGGAAAUCAAAUAUAUUUUAAAUUGCAGAAAUAUCAGCCAUGACAGAAACUUUGGUAAAUUUUUAUAUUAACACCCGCACGAUUUUCACAAAGAAGAAAAAAAAAACUCGGAUUUUUUUGCGUGGAAUCAAGUACCUUGACCUCCUAAUAUGCUGCAAAUCCCUUAUAUUGGUUCUGGAAAAUGGUGAUUGACGAGGGGCCAUAUAUUUAAUGACGAACCAUGCAAUUCACAUUCUGGGAAUUUUAUUUCUGUAAAAUGUUUUGUUUUUUUCCUAAACACACAAGAUAUAAUCAUUAAAUUUAAGAUGUUUUUGAAAGACACUCGGGGGCACCAGUAUUUUCUUAACGAAACACUUUGAAACUUGGGACACUGGUAGAAUGUGUCAUAUAACACAUCUUUUUCUCUUAGUCUUCUUAACAAAAAAACGUACAUCGCAAGUUAUUUCAUGUUAAAGUUGUCGUAUUUCUGUAAUUUCAACCAAUGACUGACGUCCAUUCAGUCGAAUACAGUAAGUGCUGACUACGUAAACAAACGAUUCUGGCGGUGAUAAAAUUAUUAUUUCCUUGUCAAAAAAUGGCUGAAGCAUAUUGGCAGUAGCUAAUAAACCUUUCUAUUAUAGGCACAAGGCCUGGUUUUUGAGGGAAGGAGCAAGUCAAUUAUAUACGCUGUGCGUAUC